rnacentral:piRNA from 1 species
UGGCAUUCCUAUCAUGGGUUGCAGGUGUU